UACGGAGGGUGCAAGCGUUGUCCGGAAUCACUGGGCGUAAAGGGCGCGUAGGCGGCCUGGUAAGUAGGGGGUGAAAUCCUGCGGCUUAACCGCAGGGCUGCCUUCUAAACUGUCAGGCUUGAGCACGGUAGAGGCAGAUGGAAUUCCCGGUGUAGCGGUGGAAUGCGUAGAGAUCGGGAAGAACAUCAGUGGCGAAGGCGGGUCUCUGGGCCGUAACUGACGCUGAGGAGCGAAAGCAUGGGGAGCGAACGGG
rnacentral:rRNA from 1 species